rnacentral:rRNA from 1 species
GGAAGUAAAAGUCGUAACAAGGUUUCCGUAGGUGAACCUGCGGAAGGAUCAUUAAAGAGUAAGGGUGCUCAGCGCCCGACCUCCAACCCUUUGUUGUUAAAACUACCUUGUUGCUUUGGCGGGACCGCUCGGUCUCGAGCCGCUGGGGAUUCGUCCCAGGCGAGCGCCCGCCAGAGUUAAACCAAACUCUUGUUAUUUAACCGGUCGUCUGAGUUAAAAUUUUGAAUAAAUCAAAACUUUCAACAACGGAUCUCUUGGUUCUCGCAUCGAUGAAGAACGCAGCGAAAUGCGAUAAGUAAUGUGAAUUGCAGAAUUCAGUGAAUCAUCGAAUCUUUGAACGCACAUUGCGCCCCUUGGUAUUCCGAGGGGCAUGCCUGUUCGAGCGUCAUUACACCACUCAAGCUAUGCUUGGUAUUGGGUGCCGUCCUUAGUUGGGCGCGCCUUAAAGACCUCGGCGAGGCCUCACCGGCUUUAGGCGUAGUAGAAUUUAUUCGAACGUCUGUCAAAGGAGAGGACUUCUGCCGACUGAAACCUUUAUUUUUCUAGGUUGACCUCGGAUCAGGUAGGGAUACCCGCUGAACUUAAGCAUAUCAAUAAGCGGAGGA